CGCUAUAAUACGCUUUCUAUUCGUUUAAUUAGGUACAAACGGACGCAAAACGAGCCGAAGGAGAAAUAAGGCCGCCGCUAUCCGUAUGCGAAUCCCAUAACUCGCAGGAAAACGAAGGUAUUGUCCGGCUGACGUGGCGCGAGAUGUAAGAGAAUAUCUCGGGCGUACGUUCUCGCCUAGUAACACCGCUGUUCGUGAGAUAGAAACGGUCUCGCGAUCUGGGAGACGCUAAUCGCGAGCGAGCCGAGCCGAGCCGCGCCGAGUAAACGCAAGCGUGGAAGCGCGCGAUUCGCGACGGCGGAGCUGCGCUUAUACAGAAGCCCCCCUCGUUCGCCUUGAAACGCUCGGGACAUGAUAAAAUGCAAAUGCAACGCCCGGCGACGAUUCUCCCUUAGGAAAACGCGAAACGCGGUGAGAUCGCCGCCGUCCAAGUCGUUUCUAGCUAAAUUGUUCUACCGUAAAUGGUCAGCGCAGAUGCACGAGCAUGGAAGAUGAGUACCAAACUGACGACGACGACGAGAAGAAGACGCAUAUGCGUGCUCCGCGUGCGUUGCAUGCAUCUGUCAAAACCACGCCCUUAUCCUCAUCCUGUGUUGCCUCGCGCUGUCCGCCCGUAUACGAGGAAGAGCAAGGAAGUUCUCCAACAGGCUUUCCACGAUGGAAACGAUACGCCUCGCUUCGAAAGAGCGAUCCAGUUUAAUUACCACUGGCAGUUCGCGUCUAAUUAGACAUAUUACAAGUUAUUGUUUUAGAAAAAGAAUCUCUCGGAACAAACGGUAAUGCACGGCGAAAUGCAAAGAUUGCGCUCAGCCGAAACUAACGGUAAAGAUACAGAAAAGUAAUGGGACGUGAAUGAUUUUGUACGAGGCGAACGAAACGGAGAGCGACCGGUGAAUCAAUUUUAAUAAGGCGUCUGAUUUUGCGUUUGACAUUCGCUACGUUUGCGUGAACACACAUUUGGAGAGGCAAUUCUAAACAGUAUCCUUGAAAUUUAUUCCGAUCGCUCUCUCGAAGCGUUUCAAAUUACUCCGGCCGAAAACGCCGUGAAUUCGCACGAUACGGUCUACUCAUUAAUUCGCGUUCGUUAAUCUUAUCCUCGUAUACGUAAUUGCCAGUCGGAUAUAAUAGGGUACGUGUGUGCCAUCACCUAGUAACAGGCGUAUAAAAAAAAAUCUGUUGGCGGGCGGUCUAACAAAAGAUCUGUUUCACCCACGUUUUAGUAGCAGACAUUUUACAUUGUUAUUUCGAACAACUAAUGGAUAUCGUAACGAUAUAUAGCAGUUACGAUGAAAGAAUCGUUAUUAAAACGGUAAAUCACUCGUUUCCCGCUUCGUCAGAUUCUCCGUUGUAUUCCGGGAAGAACGUCAUCGAUUCGCGGAUGCCGCCGUUCAGUUACAAAGACGAUGUCGUAAAGGAAAAGACGUUUUCUUCAAGACAGACGCCUUUCGACCACACCCCGGGUCCAUUUUCGAUCGCGUCGAAAGGCCGAUCGAUAUCUCGGUGCCCGGCCGGUGGAGACACGUAAUCUCGAGAUCGACAGUCAAAAUGAAGUUGUCACGCCACGGGCGAGAUGGAACUCACGCCGAAACAUCGCGUCUCAAUUGUCGCGAACAAACAUAAACUGCUCGAUACCGCGUGUUUGUACCGAAGCGUGAGCCCGGCGAUAAUUGUAACCGAAUCUACAGGCGCUGUUACGAAGGACGACACUGUUACUCAGAUAAGUUGAUACGCGUGUCAAAGCUAUCGCACGGGAAUCGUAACGCCGGGAAAUUGUGAUAACGCCAAGUAGCAAGGCGGUCGUCACUCCAUU